GAUGGAGCACGCCGCGUGAGUGAAGAAGGCUUUCGGGUCGUAAAACUCUGUUGUUGGAGAAGAAUGGUCGGCAGAGUAACUGUUGUCGGCGUGACGGUAUCCAACCAGAAAGCCACGGCUAACUACGUGCCAGCAGCCGCGGUAAUACGUAGGUGGCAAGCGUUAUCCGGAUUUAUUGGGCGUAAAGCGAGCGCAGGCGGUUUUUUAAGUCUGAUGUGAAAGCCCUCGGCUUAACCGAGGAAGCGCAUCGGAAACUGGGAAACUUGAGUGCAGAAGAGGACAGUGGAACUCCAUGUGUAGCGGUGAAAUGCGUAGAUAUAUGGAAGAACACCAGUGGCGAAGGCGGCUGUCUGGUCUGUAACUGACGCUGAGGCUCGAAAGCAUGGGUAGCGAACAGGAUUAGAUACCCUGGUAGUCCAUGCCGUAAACGAUGAAUGCUAGGUGUUGGAGGGUUUCCGCCCUUCAGUGCCGCAGCUAACGCAUUAAGCAUUCCGCCUGGGGAGUACGACCGCAAGGUUGAAACUCAAAGGAAUUGACGGGGGCCCGCACAAGCGGUGGAGCAUGUGGUUUAAUUCGAAGCAACGCGAAGAACCUUACCAGGUCUUGACAUCUUUUGAUCACCUGAGAGAUCAGGUUUCCCCUUCGGGGGCAAAAUGACAGGUGGUGCAUGGUUGUCGUCAGCUCGUGUCGUGAGAUGUUGGGUUAAGUCCCGCAACGAGCGCAACCCUUAUGACUAGUUGCCAGCAUUUAGUUGGGCACUCUAGUAAGACUGCCGGUGACAAACCGGAGGAAGGUGGGGAUGACGUCAAAUCAUCAUGCCCCUUAUGACCUGGGCUACACACGUGCUACAAUGGAUGGUACAACGAGUUGCGAGACCGCGAGGUCAAGCUAAUCUCUUAAAGCCAUUCUCAGUUCGGACUGUAGGC
rnacentral:rRNA from 2 species